GAUGAACGCUGGCGGCGUGCCUAAUACAUGCAAGUCGAGCGUACGGACGAGAAGCUUGCUUCUCUGAUGUUAGCGGCGGACGGGUGAGUAACACGUGGAUAACCUACCUAUAAGACUGGGAUAACUUCGGGAAACCGGAGCUAAUACCGGAUAAUAUUUUGAACCGCAUGGUUCAAAAGUGAAAGACGGUCUUGCUGUCACUUAUAGAUGGAUCCGCGCUGCAUUAGCUAGUUGGUAAGGUAACGGCUUACCAAGGCAACGAUGCAUAGCCGACCUGAGAGGGUGAUCGGCCACACUGGAACUGAGACACGGUCCAGACUCCUACGGGAGGCAGCAGUAGGGAAUCUUCCGCAAUGGGCGAAAGCCUGACGGAGCAACGCCGCGUGAGUGAUGAAGGUCUUCGGAUCGUAAAACUCUGUUAUUAGGGAAGAACAUAUGUGUAAGUAACUGUGCACAUCUUGACGGUACCUUAUCAGAAAGCCACGGCUAACUACGUG
rnacentral:rRNA from 1 species